rnacentral:lncRNA from 1 species
UGACGUAGCUGAUAAGAGAUAAUGAAAUUGAAGGAGUUGCCUAGAGAAGAGAGAAGCCGUUUUUCUCUGAGCUGGAGUAUGCUCCCUACAAGCUGAAGAUAAGAGAGCUGCAGGGAGGCCAGCUUAUAGGUCAAGAAGCAGGAAGAAAGGGCCUUAGGAUAAAUAGCCAGCUCCAGCUUAUCCUAGACAGCAAGGCUCCAUCCUAUUGUUGAUUCUGGGAGUAAAAUGGUUUCCCUGGUUACUGGAGCCUGUUUAUUCAGUCAGGCCAAAGAGGCAAGUAUGUUCACACCAUGAGAUGGACAAGCAGAAAUGACUCACUGUGUUUUCCAACUGUACUCAAGACCUGGCUCUAUACGCCCUCCUCCUCUGCUUGAGCAGAAGGCGAAAGAGGUUGUGGAGACUGUGGGAUUUGUUGAACAGGUGUCUCUGUCUCCCAGGCAUUCCAGUCACCGGUUGGAAAAGCGCUCGGAUUUGUGUGUUUGUGUGGAGACCCGCUGCGCCAGCUGAAAGAGCUGUGCUGGAGACUCGUGGUGCCUUUUCACCUGGGAAACUCCUGGUUGAGAUUAUUUGAAGCUGAGUUUCAGUCUCUGUGAAGGCUAGUCUACUCAGAUUGACCACUACUCCCAGGGAGCUGCCCUUCAGGAUCCCUGCUGAGAAUAGACUCUGAACACCUUAUGGUGCUGCUACUCAUGUGAGCUGGUUGAAAGUUUUGCUCAAUUUCUGGGCUUCUCAGCAUCCUCUUCUAGAACCAGCAUACAAUAGAGUGGGAAAGAGGUCCCAAGCCGACCUUACCUCUGUGGGUUUCUAUCCCAGAUUUCAGCUCUGUAAUUCUCCCCUAUCUUGUUGGCUCUCCAAAGCUCUCAAGGAGAAUUUAAAAAAAUUAUGUUCUAGCUGUUUAUUUGGGAAGGUUGUUCUGAAUGUCUCAGUUUGCCUUCAAUGAAAGUGCAGUUUUAUCUUACUGGAUUUUCCCAAAUGGUGGAGUAAGGAGUAUUAUUCCUUUGCUAGUGAGGAAAUCAGUCACAGAUGAGCCAAGUAAAUUGCUCAAAGUUACAUUUAGAAAGUGACAAACUUAGAAUUUGAAACUGUGUUUCUGUCUGUAAAAUUGAGGCUAUUUACAUUAGCUAAAAGCAAUUUUGGCUGAUUUCCUCAAAUGGAACACACCAUUAGCAGAUUUAUUAAUAACAAUAAUGCUUACAUUUCUC